AUGCCUUAAACUCAUUUCCUUAUGAGUAAGGAAAAUAACGAUUCGGGGUGAUGCCCAAAUCCUCACUGCUAAUGUGAGACGAAUUUUUGAACGGGUAAAGGUUGCUCCUAAGGUAACCCGCCUACUUUGUGGGAUGCCUGGGAGCCACGAACUGCCCG